UAUGUACUCCCUCCGUUCGGAAUUACUUGUCGCAGAAAUGGAUCUAUCUAGACGUAUUUUAGUUCUAGAUACAUCCAUUUCCGAGACAAGUAAUUCCGAACGGAGGGAGUAUUAU
rfam:Triticum aestivum genome assembly, contig: Triticum_aestivum_CS42_TGACv1_scaffold_250629_3DL